rnacentral:misc_RNA from 1 species
UCUCCGUUGGUGAACCAGCGGAGGGAUCAUUACAGGACCGAAAGACUCCUAUAACCCCUGUGAACUUACUACAAAUACGUUGCUUCGGCGGGUGCCCCGGGUCUCCCGGGGCGUUCAGCCCGCCGGCAGCCUUCAAAUUCUGUUUCUUUGCGUUGGCAUCUCGAGUAUACAAAAAUAAGUUAAAACUUUCAACAACGGAUCUCUUGGUUCUG